GUCGGGGUAGUUUAGCGGUAGAAUGCCAGGCUCAUGACCUGGAGGUCCCGGGUUCAAAUCCCGGCCCCGACA
rnacentral:tRNA from 2 species